rnacentral:rRNA from 1 species
AUUGAACGCUGGCGGCGUGCCUAACACAUGCAAGUCGAGCGGUAACAGGUGUAGCAAUACAUGCUGACGAGCGGCGGACGGGUGAGUAACGCUUGGGAAUCUGCCUGUUAGUGGGGGACAACCCGGGGAAACUCGGGCUAAUACCGCAUACGCACUACGGUGGAAAGCCGGGGACCGCAAGGCCUGGCGCUAACAGAUGAGCCCAAGUCGGAUUAGCUAGUUGGUAGGGUAACGGCCUACCAAGGCGACGAUCCGUAACUGGUCUGAGAGGACGACCAGUCACACCGGAACUGAGACACGGUCCGGACUCCUACGGGAGGCAGCAGUGGGGAAUAUUGGACAAUGGGCGAAAGCCUGAUCCAGCGACGCCGCGUGGGUGAAGAAGGCCUGCGGGUUGUAAAGCCCUUUCGGUGGGAAGAAAAGCCUCGAGUUAAUACCUCGGGGUCUUGACGUAACCCAUAGAAGAAGCACCGGCUAACUCUGUGCCAGCAGCCGCCGU